UUGCACUGAGAUUGCCCCAGAAGCCUUCCUGGAAGGCAGGGGCCAGCUGGUCAGUCUACUUGGUGAUUGGGAAAUGGUGAUGAAAGGCUGGCCAGUGUGUUAGGCGGGCUCCAAGUGAACAUGUUAUCGGUUGAUUACAGGGUCAGACGGUGUAAAAAUGUACCACGUCGUGUUCUUCGUGUUCUUCACCAGCUGCGGGUGGAAAGAUGUGGGUGAAACGAGGAGCAGCCUGAAUGCACCGCUAAAAGAUGCCAGAAGGUGUACCUGAAAUAUGCUGUACAUGUGCCCAGGAGCCACAGACACAAGCAGGGACAUCUUCUCAACCUCAGGACUUCUGCGUGGCAUCAUCAGGGAGCCAGAGACCCAGGGAGCCUGGAUGGCAAAGGUCACAUGGAGCAAACAGGAAACAUGGAACCCCAGGUACUACCGUCGGGAGCGACCUGACAACCACAUGGGAAAUCAUUCUGAAGGCGAAGCUGCCACAGAGAGGGAGAGACACAGCCCUGCUGACAAUAUCAACCUCAGGUACAAACAGCCUGAAGCCCUCCCUAUCUCUGGACUUUCAGGUACAUGGGCAGGUAAACCCCCUUUACUGUUUAAGCCAAUUUAGAUAUAUUCUACUUGCACCCUAACUAUUGGUGUGUCUUCCCCAGGUCACACAGUGCCACAGCUUAGCAUCUUCGGCUUCUCAGUGAAUGAGAUAGUGUAUGAACAGCCGCAAUGCACAGCGUCUAACACGCAUCAGUGAUCCAUAAAAAUGAACUCUCUCCCUUCCUCCCUUUCCUAUUGCAGCCAAAGCAAUUUCCCCUACGCCAUUGAGUUAGAUUUCUGGAUUGCUCGUGAAGAAACAUGCUUGUUAGUCUGGAUAGUUUGGAGCUUCUUCAAAUAAAUGCCUGCCUUGGGAAAUAUGAUUGAUAGAAGACGUGGCACACAAAUCCAUUUGGGGUGCGGAGAAGCACUAGCUGCAGGGCUGAGUUGAAAACUGAGAACUGGCUGUGUUUAGUGAAGUCUUUAUGAAUUCCUUUUCCAUGAUUCCACUUGCUGCUUGGGAUUCACAUAAGCAAGGAUAGAGAACCCAGUGGCAUUUUCCUAGGUUGGAAGGCAAAUCUCUCCCCCACGGUGUGAUUCAGGGACCCAGGUGCCCCCUGCUUGGUGGCUCUCCUCAUCCCCAGCUGGAUUUCAUAACCCAGACUCUGUGGGCCACAGGGAGCGCAGGAGGUCCAUAAACAGGGAUGGAAAAGACAGACACCUUUAUUUUCACUCCCCUCUAACUGACAUGUAGCUUUGGUUCUAUUAAGAAUGCCAGAAACAGACACCAGCCGUAAAGGCAGCACCCACGACCCUACUGGCCGUGGAAAUCAGAUGUUUUCACAUCACAAGUCAGCUGUGGAUACUGUGAAACUCUCUACUUCCAUUUGCAAUUGCAGUGGCUACUACAUGCCUGUUAUUGAAUGCAUUGGUGACGUGCACCCACGUUUAUAUGUUGUCGCAUGUUUGUAUGUCAUAGAGUUUCCUUCUGCUCCUACAUAGUUCACAGAUCUAAAACCAUUGUUCUGAUAGUUUCAGAGACUUCAUCAGAUGUGGGAGGGUCCAGGGCCCAAUAAAAUUAAUACACCAGACCCUGGGGGUUUGUUCUGUGCAUCUGCCAGUGAGAGAGGAAGGAGGGGGAGAGGACACCUCCAUGACACAAGCCUUGGCUGAGAUGUGACAUGCACCACCCUCAGUCAAACCUCCUCCAAGUGCCUGUCACCAGGAGGACACAGGAGCCACUCUAUGUCUCAGUGGCAUGGACAGGAAUGGGUCAGGGUGGGGACAGGACAGUGGGAGGCCCCUUCACCAGUGCUAAGAGCCAGAGCCAGUACUGUUACAAGAUUCAAAAGAGAUGCAAUGCCCUUCCCUGGGCCUAAAUAUAUCUACUGUAUCAUUAUUACUAUUACUGUGUAAUUGUUAUGGCCCAGAAUAUCUGUUCCCCUCUGGGCUUCCCCCAGAGACUAUGAACUACUUGAAGCAAAGGGCUGGGCCUGAUUCAUCUCAUUAUUUCCAGCCCUGACCACAGGGUCAGCAUUGUUCACUUGUCCCAAUAUUUGUGGGAUUCCACUGGGAACAAAGGGAAUUGGGACAAGUGACUAAUGAUGACAUACAGUUGUUUUUCUGACACUCCUGCCUCCAGGAAAGCAAGGCAAAAGGCCCCUGUCACUGUCCUCGGGCAGUGGGACACAUUCUUAAAUGACUGAGCCACAUCCAUGCCUCUGCCCUCAAAUAAGGUUUGCCUGCUUCAGCAUACUUGUUGAAAAUCAAUUGCACAUGAACCAUCACGGGUACAUGUGUGCACACACAGAUGCAUGCACACACAUACACACAUGCACACACAUACACACAUGCACACACAUACACACAUGCACACACCAGCCGGACACUGCCUCUUUCUUCCUCUGACUCCCACACACAGAUGCAUGCACACACAUACACACAUGCACACACCAGCCAGACACUGCCUCUUUCCUCCUCUGAC